UUAUACAGUGCCCAUAGCCAUAGAUAAAGCC
rnacentral:piRNA from 1 species